UUUUAAUUUUAAGGGGUUAAAGUGUAAUUUUAUCUUUAUUAAUUUAAAAAUUUUUAUUUUAAGGAGCCAGGCCUUACGAGCCCCUGGAUUUGCCUCUGAUUCCACUUUUAUACUUUUCACAAAAUCUUAAAUAGGGUUAAUUUUUUUGUAAACUCUCAUUGUUUAUUAUUUUGUUUUUAUUCCCCUUUAACACCAAAACUAAAAAGUUCUCUUACCCAUUAGUCCAGUUUAAAUUAUAUCUGGCAUAACAGUUAACAUUGUUGAUAGUAAUUCCCCUUUUUAAACAUUUUCCUUCUAUUCUCUUAUUCUUCUCUAAAAAAAAGACUUCAUUUCUUUUAAAAUAUAUAUGUACUUCCCAAAAUAACCUUCUAUAUAUUCAUUUUUAUAAUUAAAACAUUUAAGUUAUAAACUUAUUUUGAUAUGACGUCAAAUCAAAUAUUAUUUUUUUGAAUUUCUGAAAACUUAAAUAUCAAAAUAUGUUUUAGAUCUUUAUAUUCUUCUUAUAUUUUAAAUUUAAUCUCUAUUUAUUUUUAAGAAUUUAGUCUCUUUAUUUUUUGGAUUUAAAAAUUUAGGUCUAGUUAUUAACAACAUUAAAAUUCUUUUGUUAAAUUCGCUGGUGUGACAUGUUGAAAUUUAAAAAAAAAAAAGAAAAUUCUUAUUUGGUAGCCAUGUAACAAAAAAUAAUGACAAUCUAAUAACUUGAAUUUAACAGAGAAUUAAUUAAACAAUGUUGUCAAUUCUUAAAAAUUUACAUCAACAGUUUAAUUAGAAUACGAUGUUUAGACUAAUUAAUGACAUUUAAAAAAAGUGAAGUACCAAAUUAUGUCAAAAAUUAAGACAUAGAGAAUAAAUUUCCAAUCUGAACAUAUUUUAAGGACUAAAAUUGAAAACUAACUAUUGUUAUAUAAUUUCAAAAAGAAAAAUCAAUAAUUUAGUCAAAAUGAGGUAUUUAAAUUGACGAUGACAUUAAAAAGUUGAGGUAUCACAUUAUGUCAAAAAUUUAAAUUUAAAUAUUAAAAUUUAAAUUUAAGCUAAAUAUAAAAAUCAAAACUAAAAUUUGAUAUAUAAUUUCGAAAAAGAAAUAAUAAGUUGUGUAUUUGGAUAUGUAUAUGUAAAUAAAUCCGAAUGAAAUUUUAAUGAUAUUAUAAAAAUUAAAGUACAAAAUUAUGUUAUAAAUUAGUAAGCUUGAAGUAAAUCUCUUAAAAUUUCUUACUUUACUUACUUUUAUUUCCCUCGGUAAAUAAGGUUAGAUGCAUGAAUUGUUUGACUAUUAGUUUUCAAAUUUGUAAGCUUCAAGUAAAUAUCUUAAAAUGAAUUACUUCCCUCACUUAAAAGGUUAGAUGCAUGAAUUGUUUCACCAUUUAUUUUGUUUUUGUUUCCCUCAUUUAAAAUAUAUGAAAUUUUUUAUCACUCAAAUAAUAGUAAGAGUAAAUCACAUUGCAAGUCACUUUAAAAUAGCGUCAUUCUUAAUUUUUUUUGUCAAUUUAGUAACUUUAAUUAAGAUAAUUGCUCAAAUUGGUCACUAAUAUUAAAAUUUUCGUUAAUCCACUAACAAACUGUUGACAUGACUUCUUUUUUUUUUUACUUUUGACUAAAACUAGAGAUUCAUCUGUAAUUAGUCCAAAACACUUUAUUAUGGUUUAUUUGCUACAUAAAGCACUUUUUCCUUCUUGUUUAUUUCUUGGGAAAAGUAAUAAACAAAAAUAGGCUAUUUUACCAAAACAGUCCAAAAAAUAUUAUAUUUACAAAAAUAACCCAGGUUUAAAAACAAUCACCAAAAUAACCUAAAAUGAACAGUAAAAUUGGAUUGUGGCCUGUCAAUGGCCGGAACCCACUCGUAUUUUGCACCAUGAUUGCCUAAUAAUUGUGUCAAACUUAAAAAAAUUAAUUUUUUGGGUUUUGGCCUGUCAAUGGCCGGAACCCAUGUAUUUUUUUAAAAAAUUGUACAAUACUGAUAUACGAAAAAGGAAAAAGAAGAAAAAGGAAAAAAAAAAAUUUGAGUGCUGGCCUGUCAAUGGCUGGUACCUAGUACAAUUAAAAAAAAAUUACUUUUUUUCAUGUCAGAAUCAGAUAUCAGUAUACAAAAAAAUAAAAAAAAUUUUGGGUGCUAGCCUGUCAAUGGCCGGCACCCAGUACAAUUUAAAAAAAAUUCUUUUUUUUUUCAUGUCAGAAUCAAAUAUCAGUAUACUAAAAAAGUAAAAAAAAAAAUUUGGUGCUGGCCUAUCAAUGGCCGACACCUAGUACAAUUUUAAAAAAAAAAUUCUUUUUUUUCGUGUCCAAAUCAGAUAUCAGUAUACGAAAAAAGUAAAAAAAACUUUUUGGGGUGCUGGCCUGUCAAUGGCGGGCACCCAGUACAAUUAUAAAAAAAAAAUUUCUUUUUUUUUCAUGUCAAAAUCAGAUAUUAAUAUACGAAAAAAGUAAAAAAAUCUUUUUUUCGUGUCAGAAUCAUAUAUCAGCAUACAAUCAUUCUACAAUAUUAAUACAAAAAGUAUAAAUUAUUACCCGAUAAUAUAAAAAUACAAAUGUUUGAAAAAGCUAUUACACGAAAAUAUGACAGUAUAUAAUUCAACUCGAUUAAAAUAUGACAGUAUAUAAUUCAACCCCGAAAUUUUGUUGUACACUACGGAAAACUCCAUACACUAUCCGAUCCAAAAAAACUCAUUUCCUAAUACUACAAAACACUAUCAUUUUUAUGCCUCUCAAAAAAUUUUUCUCAUUCCAUUUACACUACAAUAACCCAAACCACUCACUAUAUAUAGAGUUUAAUGCCGGCCAUUAGAAGGUGGUGCCGGCCAUUGACAGGCCAGCACCCAAAAAUUUUUUAUUUUACUUUUUUCUUAUACUGAUAUCUGAUUCUGACACGAAAAAAAGGAAAAAAAAUUUUAUAAUUGUACUGGGUGCCGGCCAUUGACAGGCCAACACCAAUUUUUUUUUUACUUUUUACUUAUACUAAUAUUUGAUUCUUACACAAAAAAAAGGAAAUUUUUUUUUUAUAAUUGUACUGGGUGCCGGCCAUUGGCAGGCCAGCACCAAAAAAAUUUUUUUUUAUACUUUUUUCGUAUACUGAUAUUUGAUUCUGACAUGAAAAAAAAUGAAAUUUUUUUAUAAUUGUACUGGGUGCCGGCCAUUGAUAGGCUAGCACCAAAAUUUUUUUUUUUACUUUUUUCGUAUACUGAUAUCUGAUUCUGACACAAAAAAAAGGAAUUUUUUUAAAUUGUACUGGGUGCCGGCCAUUGACAAGCCAGCACCCAAAAUUUUUUUUUUUACUUUUUUCGUAUACUGAUAUCUGAUUCUGACACAAAAAAAAAGAUUUUUUUUUUUUAAAUUGUACUGGGUGCCGGCCAUUGACAGGCCAGCACCCAAAUUUUUUUUUUUCCUUUUUCUUAUAUCAGUAUUAUACAAUUUUAAAAAAAUACAUGGGUUCCGGCAAUUGACAGGUCAAAACCCAAAAAAUUAAUUUUUUUAAGUCUGACACAAUUAUUAGGCAAUUAUGGGUACAAAAUACAAGUGAGUUCCGGCCAUUGACAGGCCACAACCUAAUUUUACUGUUCAUUUUAGGUUAUUUUGGUGAUUAUUUUUAAACCUGGGUAUUUUUAUAAAUAUAAUAUUUUUUGGACUAUUUUGGUAAAAUAGCCAGAAAAAUAAGUAUAGUUUUGACUCUUUUAAAACAAGUCAACCCCAUUCUCACCUCAACUUGACAUCCUCAUCAUUGUUUCUCUUAUUUUCGUUCUAUCCUUGUUAUUUGUCAUGGGGUUCUUCUUAACCAUUGGUAAUCAAGUUCAUCUUGUGAAUUCAAUUUUCCAACAAAUCAAGCUAGCUUUAACAAUCCAAUAAUAUUUACACAACCAAAUUCAUCUUAGCAACACGUUGUAUCAAAAUCAACAAUUUUGCUAUAAAUUUUUUAAAAUAUUAAAAUUGUCAAAAAAGAGAGAGUACCAAUUAGCAAUACAGAAAAUAACACUAAAACCAGAGUUUUCAACGUCUAAAAUGCCGUUACUGCCAUAGAAGAAGUGUAGAGAGUUCUUUGAUGGUGAGAGAAAGCAUUACAAAUAAGCAAACAGUAUGCAGCGAAAGAAAAUGGAGAGAAAGACUACAACAAAUCCAUUAAUACUGAGCGUAGCAAUAAGUGAUGACCAGUAAGAUAGAGAAAGGGAAAUAUGGUUGGCUAUCAAACUUAACCAAGAAGUAAGUUGAAAGAAUUUCAGAAAGAAUCAUUUAAGAGUUCAAAAUGCUAAAAAAAUUCAAAAGUGCCAAAAAUCUUCUUGCCGGUGGCAAAAGGCUCCUAUUUAUUGUUUUUCAAUAAUAGGAGUUACAAAGUUAGAAAUUAAUGAGAGUAUUAAUAGAUAUUUUUAAGAUAGAAUUGCAUAUUAAUUAAGAAGUGAUAGUGAAAGGAUUUCCUGGUGAUGGGGAAUAAUGAAGAAGAAUUCACUAUGUUUCUAAAAGGAAAGAAAACCACUCAGCAUUAAAAGAAAAUGUUAAGAGGAAGCCUUUUAACUACCUUCAUAUUUGAUACACCAAGUCAAGCUCUCCAAAACAUUCCAAAAGUGAAGAUAACCCAAGAACUCUAUUAUAUUCUGAGAUUACUUCUGUUUCUUCCACUUUAAUGAAGUACCAUGUGAAACAUUUUUCGUGGAAGAUCUCUUAAAAUGCAAGACGAUAGUUGUUCUUGGAUAAAAGUUGUUCCUAAAUGAUUAUUUUGACUUGUUACAAACGUGAGUUGUUCUCAAUAUAAAGGUUGUUCCAGAUAAGAGAUGUUUUGUUGUGAUGUUUUUCUUGGUAAAACUUGUUUUGAAUAACGACUCUUUUGGGAAAAAAUAAUUUUUCUAAAUACAAAUUGUUCCAAACAAUAGUUGUUCUAAACAUAUAGCCAUUCCUGAAAUACUAUUAUUCUAAACAAGAGUUAUUCUCAAAUAACAAUUGUAGGGCACAAUUUUUUGCCCGGCCCGCUAAAGAAACCAAAAACAAAAAACCAAACAAAAACAAAAAUGGUUCAGUCCAGUUUUGUUACAAGCCCAAUAAGCCUAAAAGCCCAACUAACAGCCCAAACCCCCCAAAUCACCGAAACUCUAGCAGCAUUCAGCCUCCAGCAGACCUCAGCCGCCGCAAGACUCGGAAUCGGCCUCCUUCACAUGCGCCACUCCUUCAUGUUUGCCUGCAAAAUAGACUCAAAGAGUCCAACGGGGAAAAACAGUAUAAAAUAACAAAGAAAAUUGAAUUUGUUUUUCUUUUUCGGGCUAUAUAAAAGCCAUUUUAUUUUGUAAAGGGUGGGAGAGAAAAAUAGAAAAGAACAAACGAAAAAAGAAGAUCCAAAGAGAAGAUUAAAAUACAGAUUCGAAAAUUUUUUAACAAAGGUUUUUUCGCUUUAUUUUUUGUGUUCAUUAUUUUUUUCCCUUUCUCUGUUUAUUAUUGUUUUUAUAAAAAAGAGAGAGGAGGAGAUUACCUCUUUGUUGGAGUCGCCGAUUCGAUGCCAUCUCCGUCGUAAUCGGAGCUCUGGUACGAGGACAAAUGAGCGGCUACGUCAAAGGGUGAGGAGAGAAACCCUAGCAGAGCAAAUGUUUUGAAAAAAUAUGAAACAAAAUUGUUUUUUUGUGUUUAACUUAAAGUGCAGGCAAAACGGCACUGUUUAGUUGGGGGAGAUCCGAGCGUCGACCCGACCCGCAAGCAGGGUCCGCGCGUUCCUCAAAAGGGGGAAUUUUCGCAAUGAGGCCCCCCUUUUUGUGAUGUGUUUUAAUUAAACCCAUUUUAUUUUUUAAUUUGGCCCAAAUAUUUUACCUGUAUGGCAUUUUAGUCCACAUCGCUGCACAUCGUUUCGGGGAGGCGGAUUAUUUCUGAUUUGGCCCCCAUGUAAUUCGUGUGUCGCGAUUUGACCCACCAUUUUGCUUAAAUUUCAUUUAUUUCCUGUUGUUUUAGUUUUAUUGACUCUUUAGUCCUUUUUGCAAUUUGUUUUUUUAAGAAAAAUUUAUUUUUCUUCUUUUAUUAUUAUUAUUAUUAUUAUUAUUAUUAUUUCCACUUACGUUCAUACAUUUUUUUUAUAAUAUAUGUGCGUAUAUGUUUUAAACUUUUGUGGAAGAUAUACGUGUACAUAUUUUAUUUAUAUUUUAUUAUUAUUUUAUCUUCACAAUUUUUUUAUAUAAAUGUAUAUACAUAUACAUUUUUCUUAUUUUAUAAUCCAUGCACAUAUGCAUGUAUUGUUUAUAAUAUAUAUAUACAUAUUUUUUUUAGAAAUUAUUAUAAGUUGUUUUGUUUCAUAUAUUUCAUUCCUUUUCUGUUUUUUUAUAUGUAUACUUAUAUAUAUGUGUGUUUUAAUAUAUGCAUACACAUAUUUUCAAAUUUACUUAUAUAUUGUAUUUAUAUAUAUAGUUCAUAUUAAAGUAUUUAUUUUAUGUUGUAUAUUAACAUUUUAUCAUUUUUUUAAAAAGAAAAUAUAUUUGGUUUCAUCAAAGCAUUAAAACCAUUUUUAUUCAAAGGCUUUCAAGAUCAUGUAAAAUUCGAUAUUUGGAAUUUUCGAGGAAAUGGAGCCCUAACGUAUUGGGUUUCAAUUUUCUUUGUUAACCCUAAAUAAAUCGAGAAUAUUUCUUCAAAACGCAUAAAUAAAAAUCAUUUUCGGGAAUUCAACAUGUUGCGUCCUAAUGUAUUGGGUAUGACAUAUUGUUUUCUUGAAUUUUCCCAUAAAAAAGGGGUAAUAUUCAAAGUUUGGGGGUUUUUGAGAAAUUGUACUCUAACGUAUUGAGUCUCGAUUUCUUCAUCUAACUGAAACAAUUGAAUAUUCCCUAAAUAGGAGGAUUUUAAUAUGUAUACAAGUUUUUAAAUAUAAGGGUCAUAUUUUAAAAAUCUUUUCAAGCUUUUGACAUCAUGACAUUAAUAAUCAAUUUGGUACCAAUUUUGGGCGUUACGAGGGUGCUAACCCUUUCUCGUGCGUAACCGGCUCCCGAACCUAUUUUCUCAAAAUUUGUAGACCAAAAUAGUUUUUGAGGUGAGCCGAUCACACCUCAAUAAAUGAUCGGUGGUGACUCUAACUUUUGUUUUUUUUAAAGUCGACAACUAAAUUUUUGUUUUCAAAAAAACAGUUUCGACAACAAUUAUAUUGGAUGACAGCUGUUCUAACUAAAACUAUGUUUUGAAAUAGUUAUUCUGGACAAAGUUAUUCUAGAACAAUAGUUGUUUUGAAUAACUAUUCUAAACAAGAGUUGUUACUUCGGAAGAGAUAUGCUUGGUAGAACAAUUUGCUCAAAUAUAAUAUUCUUGAUUUCAAGGAAUAGAUAAAAUAUUAGUAAUCAAAAAUUGAGUAUUUACAAAAAUUUGAAAAUUGAAGUGUUAAAUUUGAUUUAUAAUUUUUUAUUUUACCAUUUUUAUCUUUACUUUUAACAUUUCAUGUUAAUUUAAUUUACAUAAAUUCUAAACCACAUUGAAUAUACAUAUAAAUAUUUGAAAUAAAUUAAAUUGAUGUUAGGAAAAACAAUUACUCAAUAAAGAAUAAAAAUUAUUAAAAAAAACUUAUAUUCGACAAAAAUAUAAUGAUAAUAAAAGAUCAUUUGUAACAAAAAGCCUUUAAGAAAAUGCGAAAAAUUAAUUAUGAUUUUAUAUUAAAUUUAUAUUCAAUUAAGCCAUUGUCAUUAAAUAAAAUUAAUUAAGCCCUCCAUUAAUAGAAUCUGUGAUUGACCGUUAAGAUAAAUUAAUGAAACAAUCAAAUAAUGACACGUGGUAACUUUUAAUUUAAUUUAAUAUUUUUUCAUACAAAUGUUAAAAAUCAUAAAAAUUAGAAUAAAAGGUAAAUAAAAAACAAAAGUAAGUGAUAUAUAAUGUUUAUAAAUUUCAAUUACUUUUCCUUUUUUCUUUUCUAAUUUUUGGUACAAACGAGAAGUGCAAUUUACCGAUAAUGUUUUUUUUUUUUUGCAAUUCCAAUAAUGUCUUUUUCUUAUGAAAAUUUAUUUUGUCUGCUUCUUGGCUUAAAAUUUGGUGUAAAAAUGAUAACACUAAAGGUGGUUUUAGAUGGACGGUGAUUGUGGUGUAAUGAAAUCUUUUAUUUCACAGUUACAGUAAUUAAUCUCAUCGCUACCACUAUUUUUAACCUUAUCGGAGGUAAUCACAUCCCCAAAGACACCCUAAAUCUAUUUACAACAAUAAUUAUUAUACUUUUUCAUAAAAAAACAAUAAUUAUUAUACGAAUAAUAAAAAAUGGUAAAAGUACGAUAAAACCUUUUAUCUUAUAUAUUGGAUUGCAUUUUAAUUUUUUAUUAAAAAAUUAGCCCAUAUAAAUUAGAUGACUGAGCAAAACACGUCCUUCCAUUUUGUUGUCUAUAUAUAAGAUAUAAUAAUAAAUUUAGCCCUCAGUCAUUACAUAUUUAUUCAAUUUGACCCUUACUUUUUUUUAUUGGAAGUAAAUUAAAAAAUUUUGAACUAAUAAACUAAAGGGUCAAAAAGGCCUUAGUAAUAAAAUUAAAAAAAAUCAAUUAAACCCAUUUAAAUUUUAAAAGUUAUUAAAAAUCUUAAAAAUUAUAAAUAAAAUUUACGAAAAUUUUAAAAAUAUAUUUUUAUUAAAAAAAGCAACACCUACCCAUUAAAAAAUAAUAGUUAGAAGAUUUUUUUUAAAAACAAUUGACCCUACUCUUUUAUUGAGUCAGUAUUGUUAUUUUUUAAUAAAAUUUUUUAUAAUUUUUAAAAAUCUUAAAAAUUUUAGCUUAAUUAAUUUUUUUUUAAAAAAUUUGUUACAAAGACCUUUUUGACCCAUUAGCUUCAUUAGUUUAAUUUUUUUAAAUUUACUUUCAAUAAAAAAAAGUAUAGGUCAAAUUGAAUAAAUGUGUAAAAUUUAGAACUAAAUUUGUUAUUAUACCUUAUAUAUAAACACCAAAAUAGAAGGACUGUUUUGCUCACUCAUUUAACGUAUAAGGGCUAAUUUACCAAUUUUUUAAAUAGAGAAGAAAAAACCAAAUUUAACUCCUAAAUUCCCUUUUUCAAUGACUUUUUCAAGUCUUCCAUACAAAAUUAGACAGAAUAAUUAAGAAUAGACGCUAUACUAAGUUGAUAAGGUCAUUCUAUUUUGCUGUUCCUCUUCCUCAGAAAGCUCCCAGACAAACUGAAACUGAAGAAGAUAUAGCAGCCGUUCCCCUUUUUUUUUGUUUUUGUUUUUUUUUUGAAAAUCGAUAUGUCAAACACGAAUAUUUCAGAAACGGUUCUGCUUUUACCGGAGAUCGAUGAUAACGACAACGAAGAUGGGAGGUGGUGGAAGAAUGUUUUGGAUUUGGAAGAGGCGAAGAAACAAGUGUUGUUUUCACUCCCAAUGAUUGUGACGAAUGUUGUGUAUUUUUCCAUACCUUUGGUGUCUGUCAUGUUUGCCGGUCACCUUGGGGAGCUUCAGCUUGCUGGUGCCACGCUUGCUAAUUCUUGGGCCACCGUCACUGGCUUUGCUUUCAUGGUUAGUUUUCACUAUUUUCUCAUUAUUCUUUAGGAUAACUUACGUACCCACUUAACUAUGGUUUUUUAUUUUUAUUUUUUUAGUCAAUGAAAAGUUAUAAAAUAGUCACUCAAUUAUUAGUAUUUUUUUUGUCACCAAAUUAUAAUAAGUUCCAAAAAUUGUCAUUCAACUAUUCAAUUUUGUCUUUUUUGGUCACACAACUAUAUUAGAUUUUGAGGUAUUUCUAUUUUUACGUUAGUCAAUUAGUGACCAAAAAGACAAAAUUGAAUAGUUGGGUGACAAAAAAAAAAGAAAAAAAAUCGUAGUUGGGUGACAUUUAUUGUACUUUACCUUUUUUUUAAUCUUUCAUGUUCAUUUUACAAUUCAUAUUUGAAGUUCGUGAUUCUUUUUUCUAAUAAUGUUAUCUCCAAGAUUUAAAUUCGUAUUCUCUCAUUAAGAGUGCAAUCUAUAUUACCAUUACACCAUACUCUUAUUGAUUAUUUUAUCAUUUGGUACCUAUAUUUUGCUUGAAUGUUUAAUUAAUUUGGUACUUCAACUUUUUUUGUCCCAAUUUGGUACCUGAGUUUGGCUUCAAUGUUCAAUUUGGUGCCUAAGUUUUUUCAAAUUGAUACUUGAGUUUUUCUUUGUCCCAUACAAAUACUUAAGUUUGACUUCAAUAUUCAAUUUAGCACUUGAGUUUUUCUUUUACUAAAACACAUUUGUCAAAUAUUUAUUGGACCACAUGUUGUUUAGUCGAGGUACCAAAUUAAACAUUGAAAUCAAACUUAGAUACUAAAUUGAGACAAAAGUACCUCAUAUGCCAAAUGGAACAUUGAAAUUAAAUAUAGGUACCAAAUAGUAUAUUAACCCUUUUAUCAUAACUUCAACAUUUUGUUUUUGUGGAUUUACUUGUUUGUUAGACAGGAUUAAGUGGAGCACUGGAAACACUUUGUGGUCAAGGAUUUGGUGCCAAAAUUUACAGAAUAUUGGGAAUUUACCUCCAAUCCUCAUGCAUAAUUUCCUGUUCUUUCGCCAUUCUAAUUUCAAUCUUAUGGUUCUUCACCGACCCCAUAUUGAUCUUCCUUCAACAAGACGCCGAAAUCUCCAAAACGGCGGCGCUUUACAUCAAAUAUCUCAUCCCAGGCUUAUUUGCUUACGGAUUGGUACAAAACAUACUGAGAUUCUUUCAGUCGCAAAGUAUUUUAAUGCCUCUGGUGUGGUUUUCGGUUCUGCCAUUGGCACUUCAUUUGGGCAUCGUUUACGCAUUGGUUAAUUGGACGAAUCUGGGUUUCAUAGGAGCUCCAUUGGCAGCUUCGAUUUCGCUGUGGAUUUCACUUGUUUUGUUAUCGUCUUAUGUGGUUUUGGCCCAGAGAUUUGAGGAAACAUGGCCGGGAUUGUCGUCGGAAUCAUUUCGUUUGGUCUUCGCGAACUUGAAACUCGCCAUCCCUUCUGCGGCAAUGGUUUGGUGAGUUCAUUUUUUCCAAAUUAAAUUAUAAAAUUUUGAAGAGUCAAACAAAAUUUGUCCUUGUAUUAUUUUUCAUUUUUUAAAGGACUAAACUUCUAAAUUUAUUAUUUUUAGGCUAAAGACUUAAGUCUAAUUAUUUUGUGUUGGGUUAAAUCUCAAAAUUAUACAUGAAAUUUGAUUUAACGUGCAAUUGUAUAUAUGAACUUUAUUUUAAUACAAUUAUAUGCGUAAAACUUUAAUUGUGGUUCAAAUAUAUACUUGAAACUUUAAUGUUGCUUCAAUCCUACGUAUUUAAAGAAAUAAACUUAUUUAUUUUUAUAUUAGAUAAAUAUAAUUAUUUAUGUAUGCGAUAUAUAAACAUAAAAUGAUGUUAUAUUAAUAAUGGUGUUAAUAAUUUACAAGAAUUAGAUCAAAUCAAAAUUUCAUGUAUACAAUUGCACAUUAAACCAUAGUUCAUGUAUAAUUUUGGUACAUAUCCUUUUUGAGUUUGAGUCAAAAGUAAGCAUUUGAUUAUUUUGAUCGGUUUGAUUUUUUUUUUAAUUUAACCGACUUAAUCGGCCUUAAUAUAAAAUAAUUGAACUGAUCGACUAAGAUAUUGUUAACCGAUUUAAUGAAACUGACUAAGAUGUCAUUAAUUGGGUUUGGGUCGGUUUUCGAGUUGGGUUAGGUUAGAUAAUUGAAUUUUAAGUUUGGGUAAUUUAAAUUAUAUCACACAUUACAAAUAUAUUUAAAAUAAUUUAAAAAUAAUAAAUAAAUAUAAGUCAGUUAAGUUGAUCGAUUCAAUUAUAAAUUUUAGUCAUCGGUACUCCACUGUCCAAAUCGACAAAACUGAAUUAAUUAAAAUUAAUCAAAUCGUCAAUUAAGUCGAUUAAAUCAAUCAUAACUGAAUAAUACUCUUUCCUAAUUUGAGCUAUUUGGAUUUUUUGGUCAAAUUUUAAGUCGGAACAAUUAGAAUUAAGUUCUUUUGAAUUCAAAUUAGUCUAAAUUAGAGUCAUUUUCAUUUCGGAUUUGAAUUUAAUUGUUAAAAAUAAUGAUGUCAACUAAAUUAAAAUUUAGAUAAUUUUUUAAAAUUGUUUUGAGCAGUUUGGAAUAUUGGGCGAUCGAGCUUCUGGUACUAUUAGCAGGAUUGAUGCCUAAUUCAGAAGUAACUACUUCCUUGAUUGCCAUGUGGUAUGCUUGCCUUUUAGGGGUGAAUCCAAAAAAUCUUUUUGAGGGGCCGAAAUGAAAUUUUAAUUUUUAAUAGUUUAUAUCUUUAUAAUUUUUAAAUGAUUAAAUUAAAAUUUUUUAAUUUUAAGGGGUUAAAGUGUAAUUUUAUCUUUAUUAAUUUAAAACUUUUCAUUUUAAGGAGCCACCCUGGAUUUGCCUCUGCUUCCACUUUUAUACUUUUCACUGGAUCCAUUUAAAGAUUUCAAGAUUAAUGGAAUUUGAGUAAAAUAUUUUAUUUCAGUGUGAAUACAGAAUCAAUUGCGUACAUGAUUACUUACGGACU
rnacentral:lncRNA from 1 species